UACGUAGGGGGCUAGCGUUGUCCGGAAUCAUUGGGCGUAAAGCGCGUGUAGGCGGCCCGGUAAGUCCGCUGUGAAAGUCGGGGGCUCAACCCUCGAAUGCCGGUGGAUACUGUCGGGCUAGAGUACGGAAGAGGCGAGUGGAAUUCCUGGUGUAGCGGUGAAAUGCGUAGAUAUCGGAAGGAACAUCAGUGGCGAAAGCGACUUCCUGGACCAGUACCGACGCCAGGCACGAAAGCGUGGGGAGCAAACAGG
rnacentral:rRNA from 1 species